AACGAACGCUGGCGGCAUGCCUAACACAUGCAAGUCGAACGAGACCUUCGUGUUUAGUGGCGCACGUGGGGGGAACGCCUGGGAAGUUGCCCUUAGGUUCGGAAUAACUCCCCGAAGGGGGUGCUAAUACCGGAUAAUGUCUUCGGACCAAAGAUCUAUCGCUUUUGGAUGGGCCCGCGUUGGAUUAGCUGGUUGGUAGGGUAAAAGCCUACCAAGGCGACGAUCCAUAGCUGGUCUGAGAGGAUGAUCCGCCACGCUGGGACUGCGACACGGACCAGACUGGUACGCGAGGGAGCGGUAUGGAAUACUAGAGGCUGAGCGAAGGCCUGAUCCAGCAGUGCCGGGGGAGUGGUGAAUGCCUUAGGGUUGUAAAGCUCUUUUACCCGAGAUGAUAGUGACGGUACCGGGAGAAUAAGCUCCGGCUAACUACGUG
rnacentral:rRNA from 1 species